GGUUAAGUGAAUAAGGGCGCACGGUGGAUGCCUUGGCACUAGGAGCCGAUGAAGGACGGGACUAACACCGAUAUGCUUUGGGGAGCUGUACGUAAGCUAUGAUCCAGAGAUUUCCGAAUGGGGGAACCCAGCAUCUUUAAUAGGAUGUUACGAUUGUGUGAAUACAUAGCACAUUCGAGGUAGACGCAGAGAACUGAAACAUCUAAGUACCUGCAGGAAGAGAAAGAAAAUUCGAUUCCCUGAGUAGCGGCGAGCGAAACGGGAAAAGCCCAAACCAACAAGCUUGCUUGUUGGGGUUGUAGGACUCCAAUAUGGUCGUUCUUUCAGAUAGUCGAAUGACUUGGAAAAGUCAGUCAAAGAGGGUAAAAACCCCGUAGACGAAAUGU
rnacentral:rRNA from 1 species